GACGCGCAGUGUGGUGCCGUUGAAUAGUCGCACUGUUCUCUCUUUCUCUUCGGGGUUGGAGGAACAAUUGUCGAUCAGUCGGUUUCGGAGCGUGCACACUGGUACCCGAAAGAUGGUGAACUAUGCUUGAGCAGAAUGAAGCCAGAGGAAACUCUGGUGGAAGUUCGUAGCGGUGUUGACGUGCAAAUCACUCGUCUGACUUGAGUGUAGGGGCGAAAGACUAAUCGAACCAUCUAGUUGCUGGUUCCUUCCGAAGUUUCCCUCAGGAUAGCUGGCAUUUGUUUGUAACAAUUUUAUCCGGUAGAGCGAAUGAUUAGAGGUGUUGGGAACGCAAUGUUCUCAGCCUAUU
rnacentral:ncRNA from 1 species